CACACCGCCCGUCACACCAUGGGAGUUGGUUUUACCCGAAGCCGGUCAUGCUAACCUGCAAAGGAGGCAGCCGACCACGGUAAGGUCAGCGACUGGGGUG
rnacentral:rRNA from 1 species